ACAAAAAGGGAAAAUGUUAGUUUUGAGUAUUUGAUCAAAAUUCUUUUUUUCCUGCUCUUUAGACUUUGAGGUUAAACCUGUGAGAGUGCAAUCUGUUGCAGAACACAGAAGCAGGAAUUCAGCACCUGUAGGGAGGGGGUGGAAAUUACUUCUACUUUCAAAUCUACUUUAAAUAGGACUUUCAUGGUUUUAAUAUUGUUUAUUGUUUAAUAUUGUUUUUGCCAGUGUUUCUUACAUUUCAUUCAACCUUACAAAGUUCUGUCAGAGUUGUAAAGGCUUUCUGUUUUAUUACUGUAGAGCUCACAUUUGCCACUUCAUCAUCCUUACUUACAGAAAGAGCUUGAGUCACCUGUCAUGAGAUUAGAAAUGUUCAAUUAUUGACAAGCAACAUAUUCCUAGUCCUAAUCUAUCCAUCUUUCUAAUAGACCUGGCAUUGCACACAAUUAAUAUUGGUGGCUCUGUGACAAACUACUUAUGUUCCUCUAUUGUAAGUUGCUUAGGAUAAGUGUCACGGUUCCAGUCAUUCCCGGACUCCAUUUCCCAUAAUCCUCCCUGGUUAUCACCUGCACUCACUCUACCAGUCAGUAAGCACCACACCCAGCUGCAGCACAUUACCUGGACUAUUUAAGCCACUCACAUCCACAUACACUUUGUGAGGUCUUGAUUAGCCAUGGUUAUCAAUUCUGAGCGUUAUUUAUCUUGUUUGUCUGCCUGUUGUUGACCCUGUUUGUUCCCGUGUACGAUUCUCUGAGCCUGCCCUUUGGAUUAUUUGCUCUGUCUUGGAUUUAUGAUUGUUAUCUGCCUGCCCUGACCUACUGCCUGUACUCCGACUACGAUUCUGCCUGCUCUCUGCCAUACCUGUCUGCUGUUGCUUUACCAUUGCCUGUUUACUACGAACACUGUUAAAUAAAGCUUGCAAAUGGAUCUUACCGAGUCCCGCUUCGUUACAAUAAGAGUGUCUGAUAAAUGCAUAAAUGUAAAUGUAAAUAAAAAUCUAAAAUUUAAUCAUAAUGGAGGACUGCAGUUACAAUACCAGUUUACAUUGUGAUCAAGUCAGUGGCUUUAGUAGGUUUUAUCAUGUAUAGUCUGGUCAUGUCAGGACCCCUGUUCUCUUUAUCUAAAGACACAACAACGACAAAUAGACAUAUAUUGUAAAUGAGCAUAGUCAUUUAAAAAUUAAGAUUCAAUGUAUCAGUGGCAUGCAGCGGGGGGCGGGGGGCGGGGGGCGGUGGGCGGAUGGGCUUAUGCCCCUGCCCCUUUGAUCGCGAAAGUGAAAGUGCCUUUGGCAGUCGCAUCGCGGGUUCCCAUUUCUCCCCCCGGAACGCAAUUUCUACCGAGGGAGAACAACCACACAGACACACACACACAACACCGCCCCUGCCCUCGCGGAGCUCUGUGCACGCCACUGCAAGAUGCAGUUGUCCUCUGACUGUGUCGUGAGGUGGGGUGCCAGACAGAAGUAUUCACAAAAGAUGCGACGUGCCAAACAGAUGUUGAUUCGCCGAUCAAGCAUGUAUCCACACAAUAUACAUGGAAACCAGAGCGAAGAAGCAAGAGAACGACUCACACAAGUUUUUUAAUGCAAGACUAACUGGAGGAUCAUCUCUUGAGGAUCUUCUCCUACAGACAGGACACUCCUGAGUUUCCUUGGUUCUCCAGAACUGCUGAAGACACUCUUUACAGAAACUGUGACUACAUGA